AUAAACGCAUAGAAGAGGAAAGUACCAUUGUUUCUAUCUCACAGAGAGCUUGAACAGGUGAAAACAAGCAGAUAGAGCAAGGGGAAAAUGGCCUCAGAGUGGCAAAGACGAGCACGUUUGCAAGUCUUUGAUGGGUACGCCCAUUACAGCGUAGGAGUGGGAUAACCACUUCAUGAGAGAUUUUCCAUGAGGAUAAUCUAAACAAAGGUGGUAACACGAAGGCUUCUGCACUCGUCCUUGAA
rnacentral:ncRNA from 1 species